AAUCAACGCUGGCGGCGUGCCUAACACAUGCAAGUCGAACGAGAAAGGGGCUUUCGGGUCCCAAGUAAAGUGGCGUACGGGUGAGUAACACGUGACUGACCUACCCUUGAGUGGGGAAUAACUUCGAGAAAUCGAGGCUAAUUCCGCAUAAUACCUACGGGUCAAAGGAGCAAUUCGCUUAAGGAGGGGGUCGCGGCAGAUUAGCUAGUUGGCGGGGUAAUGGCCCACCAAGGCAGUGAUCUGUAUCCGGCCUGAGAGGGCGCACGGACACACUGGA
rnacentral:rRNA from 1 species